rnacentral:rRNA from 1 species
CCCCAGACUCCUACGGGAGGCAGCAGUGGGGGAUAUUGCACAAUGGGGGGAACCCUGAUGCAGCGACGCCGCGUGAACGAAGAAAUAUUUCGGUAUGUAAAGUUCUAUCAGCAGGGAAGAAAAUGACAGUACCUGACCAAGAAGCCCCGGCUAACUACGUGCCAACAGCCGCGGUAAUACGGAGGGUGCAAGCGUUACUCGGAAUCACUGGGCGUAAAGAGCGCGUAGGCGGUAUGUCAAGUCAAGGGUGAAAUCCCCGCGCUCAACGUGGGAACUGCCUUUGAAACUGGCAAACUGGAGUGUGUGAGAGGAUAGUGGAAUUCCAGGUGUAGGAGUGAAAUCCGUAGAUAUCUGGAGGAACAUCAGUGGCGAAGGCGACUAUCUGGCACAUAACUGACGCUGAGGAGCGAAAGCGUGGGUAGCAAACAGGAUUAGAUACCCUGGUA